rnacentral:lncRNA from 1 species
UUUAUUAAUUACAUGUGAAACAUAGCUGACUGAGCUAUUUCUAAUCCUUUGGUGAUUGAAAAUUUGAAGGUUCGAAAGACAAUGUGAUAAGCCAGAUACCUAGUCAAGUGCAGGAGCUUGCGUUCCCUGGGUCUGCAAAAGAUAUUGAGAACCUAAUAAAGAGCCAAAGUGAGUCCUACUUUGUGGAUGCUCAGCCUCAGCAGAAAGAGGAGGGGAACAAGGGAAGAAAGGGUCCUUUGUCUUCAAUUUUGAGGGCUUUUUACUGAAUAAGUAUGUAGUACUAAAAUGUAUGCUGUAAUAGCUCAUAGUGAGCGAGGAAAGUAUCGGGCUAUUUAACUAUGACUUGAGCUCCAUCUAUGAAUAAAUAAAUCAGCAUAUGAUGCUUUUGUUUUGUGUACUUCAACUGUCUGCUUAGCUAAUUUGAUAUGGUUGGCACUUGGCACGUAUAAAUAUGCUGAAGUAAUUUACUCUGAA